CCUACGUGUGGCAGCAGUGAGGAAUAUUGGUCAAUGGCCGGGAGGCUGAACCAGCCAAGUCGCGUGAGGGAAGACGGCCCUACGGGUUGUAAACCUCUUUUGUCAGGGAGCCAGGUGCAGGUCGGGACCUGCUGUGAGAGUACCUGAAGAAAAAGCAUCCGCUAACUCCGUGCCAGCAGACGCGGUAAUCCGGGGGAUGCGAGCGUUAUCCGGAUUGAUGGGGUUUAAGGGGUGCGCAGGCGGAGGCACAAGUCCGCGGUAAAAUCGCGGGGCUCAACCCCGCUGCGCCGUUGAAACUGUGUGCCUUGAGUGCGCGAAGGGUAGGCGGAAUGCGUGGUGUAGCGGUGAAAUGCAUAGAUAGCACGCAGAACUCCGAUCGCGAAGGCAGCCUACCGGCGCGCAACUGACGCUCAUGCACGAAAGCGUGGGUAUCGAACAGGAUUAGAUACCCGAGUAGUC
rnacentral:rRNA from 1 species